CUUAUGUCGCAAAUGUCGUCAUCUGCAACAGUUUGAUUUCAGUUCACAGUAUUUUAACUGUGCUACUAUGAAAUAGUUGACUGUUCAACGAUUGGCAAGGAGAAUUCACAUGUUGAGGUAUUACAUGCGUCGAAACUAGAUAAAAUGAACUAUACCUUCGUGGAAAUUGUGUAUUUGCCGUUCGGUUUGCUACGUACUACAAAUGGGCAAAAGAAAAUCUACUCAAUGCUUAAAGAACACCUUAUGGUGUAAGCAAAUUUCAGGUGCUGGCCGUAAGUGUUAUGUUCGUCUCCAUCCCAAUGCUAAUAACUGUCACAAGAAGAAGCA